rnacentral:rRNA from 1 species
UGGGGAAUUUUGGACAAUGGGCGAAAGCCUGAUCCAGCAAUGCCGCGUGUGUGAAGAAGGCCUUCGGGUUGUAAAGCACUUUUGUCCGGAAAGAAAUCCUUGGCUCUAAUACAGUCGGGGGAUGACGGUACCGGAAGAAUAAGCACCGGCUAACUACGUGCCAGCAACCGCGGUAAUACGUAGGGUGCAAGCGUUAAUCGGAAUUACUGGGCGUAAAGCGUGCGCAGGCGGUUUGCUAAGACCGAUGUGAAAUCCCCGGGCUCAACCUGGGAACUGCAUUGGUGACUGGCAGGCUAGAGUAUGGCAGAGGGGGGUAGAAUUCCACGUGUAGCAGUGAAAUGCGUAGAGAUGUGGAGGAAUACCGAUGGCGAAGGCAGCCCCCUGGGCCAAUACUGACGCUCAUGCACGAAAGCGUGGGGAGCAAACAGGAUUAGAUACCCUGGUAGUCCACGCCCUAAACGAUGUCAACUAGUUGUUGGGGAUUCAUUUCCUUAGUAACGUAGCUAACGCGUGAAGUUGACCGCCUGGGGAGUACGGUCGCAAGAUUAAAACUCAAAUGAAUUGACGGGGUCAUAGCUGUUUCCU